rnacentral:misc_RNA from 1 species
AAAGUCGUAACAAGGUUUCCGUAGGUGAACCUGCGGAAGGAUCAUUAACGAGAGAUGGGGUGCCCUCGUGGCCCCCGACCUCCCAACCCUUUGUCUACCUACCUAUUGUUGCUUUGGUGGGGCGUGGCCGUCAGGCCCCGCCGGCCCUUAUUGGGCUGGUGUGUCCCCGCCAAAGGAUCAUAAACUAUUGCUUUAUUAAAACAAGUCUGAUUUAAAAAAAAUUUAAUAGCGAAAAAACUUUCAACAACGGAUCUCUUGGUUCUG